rnacentral:lncRNA from 1 species
AGGCAGUCUCCAGGCAGUAACGCAGGGGGAUGGACAAGACAUGUCAAUAUUCUCAAAUAAUACAGAUCAACAGGAGAAACUCUGUAGACGGUAACAGCUGGUACUUAGGAACUGAUAUCUGCACUAGCUGCACUACGGAGAGCAUGUACUUCAAACUAAUUCUAGCCUGAGCUCCACUGCCUUUGAAGCAUAACUGAACUAAGUCUCCUUGUUUAUGUUUAUUUGAAAGGAAUCCACUUUCAACAACCGGAGAUUAGUCCAUGAUCUGAAAACUUGCUAAAUGUGGACAAUGAGGAGAUUAACUCCAAAGCCAGACAAAAGUAAAUCACAAAGGACUUUUGGGGAAGUUCCUGUCUAAAAGCUCGCAUGAAAGCUCGCCGUGUGACUUCGGGGCGCCCACCUCCCAGCCCGCCCUCGCCGUGCAGCGGGCGACAUGUCCGCGUUCCGUGACCGCUGCGGGCAUCGUUCUCGUCUUCGGGGCAGACGUGCCGAACACACGCUCCCUCGUCCUUCGGUGCGUUCCUUCACUCAUCCAGCAGCGCCCUAAGCUCCCCGCCUUCCAAGCCCUCUGCUCCACCGACCGCUGUGAGCUUUCCUUUUGGCUACGCAGCCAGCGCAACGGGCAUUUCUAUCUUUCAAGCUCGCGAUUUGCGAUACUCCCACCCGACACACGCCUCGACCGCGGACACAGAACGCGGGGAGGGGCGGGGCGGCCGGCACGGGGCUCGCCGUGCUCCCCAACCCCACGGUCCCGCUCCCCC